rnacentral:rRNA from 1 species
GACGGGGCCGCACAAGCGGAGGAACAUGUGGUUUAAUUCGAUGAUACGCGAGGAACCUUACCUGGGCUUAAAUGUAGAGUGCAUUUUUUAGAGAUAGAAAUUCCCUUCGGGGCUUUCUGCAAGGUGCUGCAUGGUUGUCGUCAGCUCGUGCCGUGAGGUGUCGGGUUAAGUCCCAUAACGAGCGCAACCCUUAUCGUUAGUUGCCAUCUGGUAAUGCAGGGGACUCUAGCGAAACUGCCACCGUAAGGUGAGAGGAAGGUGGGAUGACGUCAAAUCAGCACGGCCCUUAUGUCCAGGGCUACACACGUGUUACAAUGGUCGGUACAGAGGGCAGCUACCUGGUGACAGGAUGCUAAUCUCGAAAACCGGUCUCAGUUCGGAUCGAAGUCUGCAACUCGACUUCGUGAAGCUGGAUUCGCUAGUAAUCGCGCAUCAGCUAUGGCGCGGUGAAUACGUUCCCGGGCCUU